GGGCAGCCAAGGUUCCCAGGUCCGGGGGGCGGGGGGAGGGGGGGGCAUCCCAAACCCGGGAGGCCAUGGGCCGGCUCUGAAGGAAAGGAAGGCCUACACCAUCCCCCGCAGAUGCUGGAAGGCCGAGGAGCUCUGCUCGCUGGGAGCCAUGAGAGUCUGGAGAAAGGUCUUUAAGGACUCGAAGUUUCAAGUUUAUUUGAAGAACCUAUAGAGAAGGUCUCAAGAAAUCCCUGCAGAAGGAUCCUAAUAUUAUUCCCUCAUUUGGUACCAGUGACUCCAAACACAAACUUCUGAAUAUAGGUAACAAGGAAACAAGAGAUAAUAGAAUAAAAACAGUGACCGAAGCACCAGCUUUCAGAGUGCUUGCCUCUUAACUAAGAACUCCUGUGGAUCUGAAUACAAUGACAAGUUCAUUUCUGUAAGCCAUGCGCUGAAGCAUGGUAAUGCACAAAUUUUACAUUUCCUGCCAUUUGUCCACUCUUCUGGUGGCAAGAAAAAUGUGUUUCUGAUAAAUUUCUGAGUAUGAACUAAUCUGAAUUCAAUUUGGCCACUUGCAAGACUCAGGUCUUCUGUUUACCAGCUCUCUCACCUGUAAGAACUAUAAAAGAUAAAAGCUCAAAAUGUUACCUUUUAAAUACCAUCUGGAACUGAGCUUGGCUGAUACCCAUACUAUGAGGUUCUUCUGGAUGAUAUACCUCUUCAGCUGAGGUUUUCCUCUAUUGCAACAAGGAAUUUAGACUUGGGUGGAAAUGCUGGAAUGUAGGGAUGUCAACAAAUGGCCAGUAAACAUUGAGGAGAUCACCGAAGAACAUCGUAGAAAGAACACUAUGGCUCCAGCUAACACCAACAUUGAAGAAGCAUGUGGAGGAAGCAGCAGGAGCCAGUAGUUUACAUUAACGGCGCAGAAUCCCAGAAAGCUUUAGACGUGGCAAGAUGCAAAGAGAUCCCCAUGACUUUCUCAGAACCUUGAACUAUGCCAAGCAAAACGAAGCACAGAAGGCCUCUCUGAAGCAACCAAAGGUCUAUUUUUCCAAAGAAAUGUAAGCUCAGGAGGACAUCUAUCCUGUGGCCAUGUGGGACCUCUGCUUUAGAUGGCAAGAGGCAAGGGUGGACAGAUUAAGGGAAGAACAAAGAACCGCCGGGAAAGCUGCAGAUGAAAAGCUUACUUGGCAAGUCUCUCCUUGCAUUUCCCAACCCCAUUCUUUUGCUUGGAUAUCUGGCACGGGACCCACCUCCUCCACAGUGUUCUUUUGUCGUCCCCAGCUUAUUUUCUUUCUCUUCUUUCAGAUAAUUAUAAAUUUACCUCCUUUUGCAUAGUAGCAUACUGCCUUGUCUUCUCAUUUAGAUAUGCAUUUUGUUUGGGAAAGAACUCUUGCUUUUUUAAAAAAAAUUGUGGUAAAAUAUACAUAAUAGGAAAUUUACAAUUGUAACCAUUUUAAGUAUACAGUCUAGUGACAUUAAGUACAUUCAUUCACAGGAUUGUACAACCAUCACCACUACAUAUUUCCAGAAAUUGUUAUCACCCCAAACAGAAACUCUGCCCAUUAAACACUAAUCGCUCCUUGCCACGUCCUACCCAGCCCUAGUAAACUGGAUUCUAUUUCCAUCUCUCUGAAUUUGGCUAAGCUAGAUACUUCAUUUAAGUGGACUCACAUUUUUCCUUUCAUAUUUGGCUUAUUUUGCUUAGUGAAAUAUUUUCAUAAUUCAUCCAUAUGAUAGCAUGCAUCAAAAAUUCAUUUCUUGUUAUGGCCUAGUAAUAUUUCAUUGUAUGUAUAUACCACAUUUUGCUUUUCCAUUCAGUCAUCUGUUGAUGGAUACAUGGGGUGUUUUCACUUUUCAACUACUGUGAAUAUCACCGCUGUAAACAUAGACAUGCAUCUGUUUGAAUCCCUGCCUUCAAUUCUUUUGGGUAUAUACCUAGGAUGGAAACAGCUGGAUCCUAUGGUAACUCUAUGCUUAACUUUCUGAGAAACUGCUAAUCUAGUUUUUUCAUAGUAGCUGCGCCACUUUACAUUCCCACAGCAAUGUAUGAGGAAUGUACAUUCCAAUUUCUCCAUAUCCUCACCAAAAC